CGAGAUGUUAGUAAAAACAUUAUAUAACUUUGUCGAAGUUAAGUUACAAGUGAGAACCCUGUACAUCUCA
rnacentral:tRNA from 2 species